rnacentral:hammerhead_ribozyme from 1 species
AUCCAACUGACGAGUCCUAAAUAGAACGAAAUUAGAGUUCCGGAU